rnacentral:tRNA from 1 species
GGGCCUAUAGCUCAAUUGGUUAGAGCAACUGACUCAUAAUCAGUAGGUCACUGGUUCGAUUCCAGUUGGGCCCACGA